ensembl:lncRNA
GCCCCAGGCCCCGAGGCGACGAAGCACUGAGUCGCGCAGCCCGCUGCCCGGCUGCCCCCUCACCGCGUUGGGCUCCCGCGAGCGCCUAGACCUCCUCGGGCGGAAGGGUGAGAGCGGACUCGAGAAACGUGGCGAAGCCCCGGGCCCACGGCGGUUCGCUGGAGAGCGCGGUGGUGGCAGCCCGGUGAGCGGCAGGAAUGGGCGCGGGGGCACAGCCCCCAGGCCUUGCGGAGAACUGGGCUGGGGUCUCCUAUUUCAGGAUUGGGAACCCAUGCCACACUCACCUGCUCAACUGAGAAAGCAUUACCAUGCCAGGUAAAGGGAAGAGAAAGGGCCAGGGCCGGUCCCACCGGAAGAAGCCGAAGAAACCGGAAGUGGACAUCCUGAGCCCGGCGGCCAUGCUGAACCUCCAGUACAUCGCGCACAACGCCGCCCACUGCCUGUACCUGCGCGGCUUCCGCUGGCCGGGCGCCACCAAGUCCAAGAAGGGGAAGAACAAGACUUAGGAGAGAACUUGGGGACGAGAGAUCAGGGUAGUAACUACGUUGCAAGCAAAAAUAGACUUUACUCAAGACAAGUUGAGACGCAAGCUAAGUGUGCUUUUCUGUGGUCACUAAUGAUAAACACGUUUCACUCCUCAGCUAAACGCGGGCCUGGGAAACAGGGCCACCUUUCCACUCAGCUAUGUCUCUGGGCUGGACCUGAGCAGUUUCUGUUUGUGGACGCACCAACUCUAUUCCAGUCUUUCUCCAAACUGCAUGCACCACGGUCACCCAAGGACUUGUCAGAGCACAGAUUGCUGGGCUCUACCUGGAAGGAUGGGUGGAGUUUGAGAAUUUGCGUUUCCGCUAAACUCCUAGGUUGUUCUGCUGCUGGACCAGACCUGUGGAAAAGCUCUAGUUCAUGCUGCCUCAUCAGAUGCUAAAAGGCUUGACAAACCUCUGAACUCGUAGGAUGUCUAAAGCCCUCUUCUGCCUGGCUUGGGUUCAGGAGCCCAUGUCUGAGCAGGUAUGUUUAUUGGAACGCUGGGGAGAUGGCACCUGCAGAGCUGGCUGCUGAUCUUGUCCACGGCACAGAUAACACCACUGAGGGGACGGCAGGCCUUCUGGUCGUCAGACUUUUACAAGCUUAGGAGAUCAUCUGGAGGUGGAAAUGCCUUCUUUAGAGAUGGGUCUUUGAAAUCUGGUGUGUUUUGUCAGUCAUAACACAUCUCCAUUUGGACCGGCCACAGUUCAAGUGCUCAGUGGCCCCGUGUGGCCAGUGGCUGCCUGGGCCAUGCUGCUCUGCAGAGGAGAUGAGAUGGUAAAUAGAGCACAAACAUAACUCUUUCAAAUUAUUUUUUUGGGGGGUGGCCACGCCUGAGAAACUUGGAAGUUCUCUGGCCCGGGAUCAAACCCAGACCACAGUAGUGACCCAAGCUUCUACAGUGACAAAGCCAGGUCCUUAACCCCCUGCACUACCAGGAACUCCUUUUUUAUAUGCUUGCAAUGGCGAUAAAUAAUUGCCAAUGAAGAUUUUUGAAUAAUGAUUUAUUCAAGUUCCAAGUAAUCACUAUCAGUGAGAAAUUUUGCCUGAGUAAGAAAUAAAAAAUUUAAAAGUGUUUUUACCACCCUUCAAAGUUUUACAGCAGUUAAAAUUAUCUUUAAAGUGUUUAACAGCUCUUAUGGAAAUUUCUUGUGAUAAGGCAAAGGAUUUCAAAGCCAUUAAACUUUCUCAUACUAUUUCAAGAUAAUGCUGCCCGUUGUCUGGUUAGCAGCACAAGCACGUGUCCUUAGCACAAGUCCCACACAGCUGGUUCGGAAACAGAGAGGAAAGACAUAUUCCAGCGCGGGUGGAGACAGCGAUUUGAGACCCAGCCUGGGACUGCCCCUCCCACAGAGACCUCCUCCCCGCGCCCCCUACCUCUCUAACACCCUAGCUGGAUGCCCAGCUCCCAGGACCCUUGGAACAGAACCCUAGCAGCAACUCUGGCCCCUUCUCCACCUGGUGCGUGGCUGAUUUACAGCAGCUACUGAUACAGCCAUCCACACAGUGGAGCAUUUUUGGCAGGGGCUUCCCAUGAGAGAUGUCACUGGUCUUUCUCACUCCCUCUCCUACCACCCCCUCUCCACCUCCACACUGCUAGGGUCACUCUCUGAAGAACCCAGCAGCUACUGCUCACAGCUGGAAUGACUGCCCAGAGGGCUUGCCCACCCUGGAGCCCAUGGUCCCCACAGACUCAGGCUGUGUCUGCAGGCUGUCGGGAGGUCUGGUAUAGCAGAUACUACAAGCAUCCAUCACCUGCUUCCUUCUUGCUGACAACAUCCUGUCACUUUGCAGCUCUGUGAUCUUGGGCAAGUUAUCCCCCCUAUAUGGACUUUAGUUCUCUCCCUCUUUUAAAACAGCUUUGAGAAAGUCUUCAUGUGCCAUAAAUGUACAGUUCAGUGGCUUUAGUGUAUUAGCAAAGUAGUGCAGACCUCUGUUUCGUAUCUGUAAACAGAAAAAUUGUGUAUAACUUUACAAGCUUUUUGUGAGAAGGGGAUGAGAUGAUGAAUGUAAAAUGCUUGGUACAUCGCCUGCACACAGUAGACUCAAUAAGUGGUCAUUGUUCUUUUGAUGAUAAUGAUGACAAGGCCAGGAUUCCUGCCUCAAGGGACACUGAGCAGCAGGGACAGCCAGAGAGUUUGUUGCCUGGCAACAAAACUGUGGAAUUUGGGCAACCCCAGCUCUUCCUGUUCCUCCCACACUGGACAGCAAGCCAACAGCCUUCCCAUUAGGUGCUCACAGCCACCUCUGUGUUGGAACAGGACGUGACAGCUGCUCAACAGCUGCUUAAGCUGCAGCACAAUUUAAGGCAGGAAGUGCAGAGAAAUACCAUUUCUCACACAAAACUGAUGGUGAGAGAAAUUCAAGUGGGCAGCAAGAAAAGUCACUUCCUUGGCUUAAAUUUGAUCAACAGCUACCUGGUUUCAUUUGGCUAGGACUUUUUUUUUUUUUUUCCUUAAAGGUUUUAGGCUCAACUUAUUGUUAUAAUAAAAAUAAUGCUUAUUGUUUAUUUUUUAGUAUAAUUGCUUCUCCAUAGGCAGUCUGUAUUAAAAGUUUGGCCUAGAUAUUUUUAGAAUAUAUAUAUAUUUAAAUAUAUGUUUAUUGGAGUUCCCGUCGUGGCUCAGUGGUUAAUGAAUCCGACUAGGAAUCAUGAGGUUGCAGGUUCAGUCCCUGGCCUUGCUCAGUGGGUUAAGGAUCCGGCAUUGCAGUGAGCUGUGGUGUAGGUCAAAGACACGGCUCAGAUCCCACAUUGCUGUGGCUCUGGUGUAGGCUGGUGGCUACAGCUCCAAUUAGACCCCUAGCCUGGGAACCUCCAUGUGCCGUGGGUGCAGCCCUAGAAAUGGCAAAAAAAAAAAAAAA